rnacentral:tRNA from 1 species
GGGGAUGUAGUUCAGUUGGUAGAGUGCUUGCCUAUUAUUCAUGAAGCCCUGGGUUCAAUGCCCAGCACCACCU